AGCACGUAGAGCAGGAGCAGUGAGCAAUAUUUUUUUUUCUGAAAAAAGAGAAACUUUCAAGGUGUUUCACGCAUAAUUGGCAGGACACAUCAGGACCAGGCCCCAAUUAGGCCGCAGCUUAACCGGCGCGGCGCCGCCGCCGUCCAUGCGCCCAAAUCCGUCUCCCUCUCUCCUCCCGCCACUCGCUCCGGCCACUGUACCUUCCGCGCCAACGCCAUAGAAACCGCUCCCGAACCUCCUGGAAGCCCCCGCUGGCCGCCCCGCCUAGCGCGCAUAGCGCGCGUGGGAUUGUAGCCGCCGCCGGGCCCGAGCGCGUCGACUGCGGUGACGCUCGCGAUCCGGUCAUCCAAGGCCCCAAGCUGCGAAGGGACUGGCAACCGGCGGUGAGAAGCGAAGCGGCGAACGUAGAGCUUCUCCAGGGAUAAAUGGCCUAUUAACAUCUCAAGGUGCCAAUUGCUGAUUAAGUCAUCUUUGGAGAUUGUUCUCUAAAAGAAUAUAGUGUGAUCUUCAGACAUCUGUUAUGUACAAUGUAACUUCAGUAAAACAUGACAACAAAGACGAUGCCCUUGGUAAGUCUACUAAUGAGAGACUGGGAGCAUCUUGACCUAAUAACAUUAGAGAGAAUCCUUCUUAAGAUGGAAUGGUCAUUCCACUACAACAUAAUGUUACACUGCUAUCAGUUGUAAUUUAUGUCAAAUGUUUUGAUGCCUGUGGGAGUGCAUGACCCGACCAGAACACAUGUAAUAUUAUGCACCCCAUCAGCAUAAUACCACUGUUUAUUUAUUUACACAUAUCUGAUCUUUCGAAAAAAUAUUUACACAUAUCUCACCCUUGCUCCUAAUUUAUCUAUUUAGACAAUGAUAUUUAUAGUUCUGAUCUACUUUUUAUAGCUGGAUGUUUUAUCAAUAUGAAUACAGUACAACUUUUGAUGAUGCAAUUUUUAAUCUAUAACUUGGUUUCAUCUGUAACAAUAUAAUACCAAAUUUAUUAGCACUGUCUAGCUGGACCGGAGACAGAAGACCUCGGGGUGAGCCCUUUUUAAAAGAUAGCAAGUAAGCUGACUUACCAGAUCCAUAUAUUCGUUGGCAGCUCUAUUCCUGGGCAUACUUAGAGCUAUGUAUAUAUAGGCAGGGAUUGAAGUAUUGAACCCAUUUCUUUCUUUUCCUGGACUGGAGCCUCCUUUGAUGCACUGAAAUGAUUUUCAUUCUAUGUGAAGGGAUUGAGCUUAAUUAUGGUUGAUCCAAACAGCAAGGUAGUAGUGGUAGUUUUUUGAGGAUACUUACAAAUGCUUUGUUUUGAAAAAGAAAAGGUUGCAAUAGGAUUGGUGUGUCACUGCCACCACCUAUAUUUGCAAAGGUCUAUUAUUAUUGAUCAGGCAUUGGCUGUCCCUGCCUGCAACCUCUCUGGAGUUUUUGAGUCAUUGUUCUAAUCUUGGAAGAUUCUAACUUUACUAAUUGUUUUAUAUAAGGAAUUGAUACGGUUUUCAAAGAUUAGGUCUACUAGGUCAUAUACAAGGAACGGUUUCCACUACUUGUACUAUAGUUAAUGUGGUUGACGCAAUAUCUGGGUCAGUUAGAUUGUACAAUGGCAACUAGAUGGGUAACUGAAUGCCCCGCAAGACAGUGGUGGGAGUCCUGUUACAAGUUCAGGGCAAUGCUUGUAUUUAGAGACAAGUCUUUAUUUGCCAUUGAAAGAAAAUUGCAAUUCCUUAUUUUCUGUUGGUGUGUAUGUGGGGUCCAUCUAUGUCACUGAUUGUACCAAACUGCAAUGACAGGCUAGAAAUUAAUCCUUUUAUAUACAAUAUAUACAUACCUUAAGCUUGCCAUAUUUUUCUGCUUCAUUAUUAGCAAAUAUUUUCUCAUAACACUGUCAUAGUUCACAUAGAUAUAUAAUUAAUUGAAAUCACCAUACAGUACCAUUGCAUGCAAACGUUGAUGUCUUGUCUCAAGAUUAGUCUCUAUCAACUUGUCUAAUGUCCCAAGAAAAAAAACGCAUAUAUGGAAAUCUACCAAGUGUUAAUACGUACCAUACCAUGCCUAUCAUUAGACCAGGACACUAGAGUUGUUGUGGGAUUGUGGCCAUAACUGUAGCUCUGAUCUGUGGAUACUGGAUACCAAUCUUGACAUGGAUAUGUUAUCUCUUAAAUCUGAGUCAGCUUUGGGGCCAGUAAUAGAGGGUGUGCUUCAGAUUGAAACUUAUUUAUACAAUGAAGCGUACUAUAUAUGAUACAAGUUUUAGGUAUAUACAUUAUAUUGGCUGUAACUUUAACCCAGUACCACUGGAAAUCUUGAAUUUUGAUGAAGUUUAGAUGAAGCCUUGCUUUCCAUUGUCCUUUUAGAAAUAUAUAAAGGAAUGAUCAUAUGACCUAAUGAUGUUGAGGCCACCGUUAGAUGCU